rnacentral:rRNA from 2 species
AACGGAUAUCUUGGCUCUUGCAACGAUGAAGAACGCAGCGAAAUGCGAUACCUAGUGUGAAUUGCAGAAUUCCGCGAAUCAUCGAGUCUUUGAACGCAAGUUGCGCCCGAGGCUUGUCCCGAGGGCAUGCCUGCCUGAGCGUC